CCUACGGGUGGCAGCAGUGAGGAAUAUUGGUCAAUGGCCGAGAGGCUGAACCAGCCAAGUCGCGUGAGGGAAGACGGCCCUACGGGUUGUAAACCUCUUUUGUCGGGGAGCAAAGCGAACCACGUGUGGUUCAUUGAGAGUACCCGAAGAAAAAGGAUCGGCUAACCCCGUGCCAGCAGCCGCGGUAAUACGGGGGAUGCGAUCGUUAUCCGGAUUUAUGGGGUUUAAAGGGUGCGCAGGCGGAGGUGCAAGUAAGAGGUAAAAUUGCGGGGUUAAACCCCGUACUGCCGUUGAAACUGCAUCCCUUGAGUGCGCGAGAAGUAUGCGGAAUGCGUGGUGUAGCGGUGAAAUGCAUAGAUAUCACGCAGAACUCCGAUUGCGAAGGCAGCAUACCGGCGCGCAACUGACGCUCAUGCACGAAAGCGUGGGUAUCGAACAGGAUUAGAUACCCCAGUAGUC
rnacentral:rRNA from 1 species